rnacentral:tRNA from 1 species
GCGGAAGUGGCGGAAUUGGUAGACGCACCAGAUUUAGGUUCUGGCGCCGCAAGGUGUGAGAGUUCAAGUCUCUCCUUCCGCACC